CUUAACUAGACGGACCUUAAUCGGCAAAGUAAUGUCUCUGCUUUUGAUUAUGCUAUCUAGGUUGGUCAUAACUUUUCUUCCAAGGAGUAAGCAUCUUUUAAUUUCAUGGCUGCAAUCACCAUCUGCAGUGAUUUUGGAGCCCAAAAAAAUAAAGUCUGACACUGUUUCCACUGUUUCCCCAUCCAUUUCCCAUGAAGUGAUGCCAUGAUCUUCGUUUUCUGAAUGUUGAGCUUUAAGCCAACUUUUUCACUCUCCUCUUUCACUUUCAUCAGGAGGCUUUUUAGUUCCUCUUCACUUUCUGCCAUAAGAGUAGUGUCAUCUGUGUAUCUAUAGUUAUUGCUAUUUCUCCCAGCAAUCUUGAUUCCAGCUUGUGCUUCUUCCAGCCCAGCGAUUCUCAUGAUGUACUCUGCAUGUAAGUUAAGUAAGCAGGGUGACAAUAUACAGCCUGACAUACUUGUGCAAUAUGUCCUUAUUAUAUAUUUUCUAUAUAGUAGUUUCAA
rnacentral:lncRNA from 1 species